rnacentral:rRNA from 1 species
GACGAACCGUGCGAACGUUGUUCGGAUUCACUGGGCUUAAAGGGCGCGUAGGCGGCGGCUCAAGUCGGGGGUGAAAUCCUUCCGCUUAACGGGAGAAUUGCCUUCGAUACUGGGUCGCUGGAGGGGGAUAGGGGUGCGCGGAACUUCCGGUGGAGCGGUGAAAUGCGUAGAUAUCGGAAGGAACGCCGGUGGCGAAAGCGGCGCACUGGAUCCCUACUGACGCUGAGGCGCGAAAGCCAGGGGAGCAAACGGG